rnacentral:rRNA from 1 species
CCUACGGGAGGCUGCAGUGAGGAAUAUUGGUCAAUGGACGGAAGUCUGAACCAGCCAUGCCGCGUGCAGGAAGACGGCUCUAUGAGUUGUCAACUGCUUUUGUACAAGGGUAAACCUGAAUACGUGUAUUCAGCUGAAAGUACUGUACGAAUAAGGAUCGGCUAACUCCGUGCCAGCAGCCGCGGUAAUACGGAGUAUCCAAGCGUUAUCCGGAUUUAUUGGGUUUAAAGGGUGCGUAGGCGGAUUGAUAAGUUAGAGGUGAAAUGUCCGAGCUUAACUCGGGAACUGCCUCUAAUACUGUUGAUCUAAAGAGUAGAUGCGGUAGGCGGAAUGUAUGGGGGAGCGGUGAAAGGCUUAGAGAUCAUACAGAACACCGAUUGCGAAGGCAGCUUACCAAUCUAUAUCGGACGGUGAGGCACGAAAGCGUGGGGAGCAAACAGGAUUAGAUACCCUAGUAGUC